GCCCUAGUAACGGCGAGUGAAGCGGCAAUAGCUCAAAUUUGAAAUCUGGCUUCCUUUUAUAAGGAGUCCGAGUUGUAAUUUGCAGAGGAUGCUUUUGGCAUGGUACCUUCCGAGUUCCCUGGAACGGGACGCCAUAGAGGGUGAGAGCCCCGUCUAGUUGGAUACCUAAGCCUCUAUAAAGCUCCUUCGACGAGUCGAGUAGUUUGGGAAUGCUGCUCAAAGCGGGAGGUAUAUGUCUUCUAAAGCUAAAUAUUGGCCAGAGACCGAUAGCGCACAAGUAGAGUGAUCGAAAGAUGAAAAGCACUUUGAAAAGAGGGUUAAAUAGUACGUGAAAUUGCUGAAAGGGAAGCGCUUAUAACUAGACAUGGAGAUUUUCAAUCACCUAGUAUUUUUACUAGGGUACUUGGAUUUUUCUAGGCCAGCAUCGGUUCGCUAUAAGGGAUAAAGACSCCUGGAACGUAGCCCCUCUCGGGGGGUGUUAUAGCCUAGCGUGUAAUGUCUUGUAGUGGACCGAGGUCAGCGUUUUUAACAAUGAUGCUGGCAUAAUGGUUAUUAGUGACCCGUCUUGAAACACGGACCAAGGAGUCGUCCUCGUAUGCAAGUGUUUGGGUAUUAAACCCGYACGCAAAAWGAAAGUGAACGUAGGUGAGAGCCCUCUUUAAAAGGGGGGUGCAUCACCGACCGAUCCUGAUGUUCUACGGAUGGAUUUGAGUAAGAGCAUACGGGGCCGGACCCGAAAGAAGGUGAACUAUGCCUGUGUAGGGUGAAGCCAGAGGAAACUCUGGUGGAGGCUCGCAGCGGUUCUGACGUGCAAAUCGAUCGUCAAACAUGGGCAUGGGGGCGAAAGACUAAUCG
rnacentral:rRNA from 1 species